GGGUGCAAGCGUUAAUCGGAAUUACUGGGCGUAAAGCGUGCGCAGGCGGUUUGUUAAGUCUGUUGUGAAAUCCCCGAGCUCAACUUGGGAAUUGCAAUGGAUACUGGCAGGCUGGAGUAUGGUAGAGGAAGGUGGAAUUCCCGGUGUAGCAGUGAAAUGCGUAGAGAUCGGGAGGAACACCAGUGGCGAAGGCGGCCUUCUGGGCAGUUGCUGACACUGAGGCGCGACAGCGUGGGGAGCAAACAGG
rnacentral:rRNA from 1 species